rnacentral:lncRNA from 1 species
GGGGGGGGGUACAAUUGAAAAUUAGAAAGUAAUAAGAAGUUACGUUGUUGGUUAAACCUCAUCGCUUGUUGUGCAAUGGGUUCGACCCGGUCGGAACCCGUCGCUUCUCCGACCGAAACUCCGGCACUUUCCUUUUCCUUGCUCCGGCUCCGACCCCAGAACCACCGGGCCGGAAAAACUGCGUAGUAGUCGCCGUCGACGGACCGGGAAAUCCCCUUAUCGUCCGGAUCGCUUCUACACACGAGGGAGAAAACAUUGCGGAGACGAACAUGACAAGAAAGGAAACGAGAAUCAACCGGAGACAAAAGCACGUCAUGAUGCUCUGUUUUUCGUUGACUCUGUUCUUUUUUGGGAUGAGAAGGGAAAAGGGAGAUGAAGGGGAGCUUUGAUCUAUAUAUAAGGUUGGUGGGUAAUGGUUUUGAAGUUUUGGGGGAGAUUGGUAAUGGAGAUUUUGGAGAUUGGAUGAAGACUGAAUACGGUGAUGGGUUAUAUGUGAACAGAGACUCUGUUUUGAUGACGAGUGACAGCCAUGGAAUUCCCUGUAGUAAAGGGGGAGGGGGGAUCGGGUCAAUGAAAGGGAUGACGGUUUGGGGACGGUGUUGCGUGGUCAAAGAAUGAAAGAUGGCUACUUGGGAGAAGGAUGAUGAUUGUGAAUGUUUAUGAAAUAUUUAUGUGUAGAAAUCUAAGCUUUGAGCUAUACUA